CAGCCGUAAACAAUGUGCGUUAGGUGUGUCGGUAACCACGCGUUACUGAUGCGCCGAAGAGAAAUCGUGAAACGCACCACCUGGGAAGUACGGUCGCAAGGCUGAAACUUAAAGGAAUUGGCGGGGGAGCACCACAACAGGUGGAGCCUGCGGUUUAAUUGGAUUCAACGCCGGACAUCUCACCGGAUAAGACAGCUGAAUGAUUGUCAAUCUGAAGGUUUUACAUGACUAGCUGAGAGGAGGUGCAUGGCGUAGUCGUGU
rnacentral:rRNA from 1 species